GUUGGUUACGCAGGUUUUAUUUGAACUUGACCUCAUUUUCACAGUCCAUUGCUAAGUUUUAAGUGUUUGUGUUUUGGUCUCAUUUUCUUUAUUUAUAAACAGUAAGUCAUAUAUAUUCGUAAUAUUGAAGAAUUGUUAGCUGUACAUGUUUGCCUGGCAUGGUUCAAUAUGUUCAAUAAGGCAUUGUUUACCAGGUGAGCGAUUCAGGCUCUUGAGAGCCUCUUGUUACUUUUUGUACAGGGGUUAAGAAACAUACAGAGUAUUUUUCUAUAUUAAUCCAAUAUUUUAAAUAUUCUACCCCACCAUAUUUUGUGGGGGAUAUGUUCUUACAUCUACAUUUGUAUAUAUAAUAUUUGAAUAACAACAAAAUAUUGUUAACUGUUUUACUGUUAACAAAAUCCUCAGACACACCUAACAUGACUUCUUUUGCACUGAAAGGCAGGAGAAUGCCAUAAUGUUUAAUCCAAUCUAUAACGGAUAGCCAGAAGUUUUGUGAUACAUUACAUUCCCCAAAAAUGUGAAAAAUAUUUUCUUAAAACUCUGAACAAAAAGUACAAAGUUCAGUUUCUUUUAAUUUACAUUUCAAUAAAAAUGAAUUACAUGGUAGAAUCCUAUGAACAAUCUUAAAUUGAAAGUUUUGCAAAAAAGAGUUUUAGUUAUUAUAAUGAAGGGCAUGGAAUAAAUAGCAUUCCAAUCCUCAAUCUGCAUAUUUAAAUCUCUAAAUGACUUAUUUGACAAAAUAUUAUUGACUUCCAAUGUAUCUCCCAUCCAAUAUAAAGAAGUAACAUUUUAUACAUUGUGACCUUUAUCAUAACACCAUUGCAAGUGUAAUAAGGCAUUAUUGUCAUUUUUCUUGCCCUGAGUUUUGAAAUUUGAAAUCAAAUUUGUUGUUUCAGAAAUGGUGAAAAUAAAUACAUUUAAAAAAUGUAUGAUUCUGGCAUAUACUAUUAAACAAGAACAGUAUAGAAUAUUAUUUAACUGUAAUACUAUGAAAUAGAUGAAAACUUAUUUAUUUUUAACACACUAUUGUUGUCCGUUUUCUGUAUUAUAACAUUUACUCUGUGAAAUAGAUUUUGACACCACAGGUUAUUUUCUAUGAUAGUAUUCACAAUCACAAACUACUUCAUAACCUAGCAUCUCCAUUCAGCAGUAGUCUUACUAGGUUAUAUCAUUGUAAAAAAUAUUAAGUCAUGAAAGUAUUAUUACUUUCCAUUUUUUUUAUAUUUUACAAAUUUUUGAUAAAGAUCAAAUAUUUUUUAGGGAUUUAUAAUAAUCUAUUAUAUGACGAUUUUUUUUAGAAUUUUUCAGUUAAAAAAUGACCAAGUACAAAAAAUAUCCUAAUGCUUAUUUACUAUUUGUAUUUUAAUAGUAAAAUAUAAUUUUGAUAUUUCAAAAAUUAUUUUCUUUGAUGACAUUAUUUUCAUUCAUUAUUAAAAAUUUAUUCUAAAUUCAGUAAGUUUUGAUACAUUUUAAAAUGCAGAUAGUGCAUUACUUCUAGGUUAUGGUAAACUGCUGAGGAAAGUAGUUUAAAUUUAUGGAUUUCUUUUUAUGCUGAAAUGUAUUUCUUUAUCAUGUUUAUAUUUCUAAAUUAUAAGAAAAAGAUGGCUGCUAUACUUAUUUAUUUUAUACUUCUUUACAUCAAUUUUUCAUUGUCUCAGUUAUAAAAGUGGAAUAUUUAUGUGAUUGCAUGAUACAGAGAAAUGUGGAAUGAUGGGGGAAAAGUGAUGAAUUCCUAACAUUCAGGGUAAAUGUGAUAUGCUUGAUUUUUUGUUUCUGUAUAUUUGAUGUUAAUAUAUAGUUGUUGUUCAUUCUUUCUUUGUUUUGAUAUAUUAUAAUAACUAAAUAUUAGGAAAUAAAAAUGAAUAUUAUGUUUAUUAUGUCUUUUUAUGUGUUUAAAUAUUGAUGAAAUAAUGAUGCAUGGUUCACCACAUUUUAUUCAAAACUGUUUUUAUAUGAUAUGACAACUUUUCUUUAAUUCAAAACAACAGUUCACCACAUUUUAUUCAAAACUGUUUUUAUAUGAUAUGACAACUUUUCUUUCAUGCAAAACAACAGUACACAAAACACAACAUAGAAAACAAAAGACUGAGCAACCAACCCUGCCAAUUACUAAGGAUUAUCUCAGGUGCUUCAGAAGGGUGAGAACACAUUAUACAACCUUGAUAAGUUAUAUCAAGUGAUAGUGCAACACAAAACAAUGUUAUUAUUUUGGUUUUAGCAGAAAGAUUAGGAACCUGGUUUAUGUCAAAAAAUGGCUCUUCCUGUUUGUGAAAAAAAAUCCAUGGAAGAUACCAAGACCUUCAUUGAUAAAUAUUCAGUAUAAACUUCAAUAAUAAUACAGGAUGGUCUUGAAGUAUAGAUUUUAGAUACUGACAUCCUUUAUCAAUUAUAAAAU
rnacentral:lncRNA from 1 species